UACGGAGGAUCCAAGCGUUAUCCGGAUUUAUUGGGUUUAAAGGGUGCGUAGGCGGCUAUAUAAGUCAGAGGUGAAAGACGACAGCUCAACUGUCGCAGUGCCUUUGAUACUGUAUAGCUUGAAUACAGAUGAAGUAGGCGGAAUGUGGCAAGUAGCGGUGAAAUGCAUAGAUAUGCCACAGAACACCAAUUGCGAAGGCAGCUUACUAAACUGAUAUUGACGCUGAGGCACGAAAGCGUGGGGAUCAAACAGGAUUAGAUACCCUGGUAGUCCACGCCCUAAACGAUGAUAACUCGAUGUUAGCGAUACACAGUUAGCGUCCAAGCGAAAGCGUUAAGUUAUCCACCUGGGGAGUACGCCGGCAACGGUG
rnacentral:rRNA from 1 species